AUGAGCUUUUUGAGGAAUUUAUUUCUGCUUGGACUCUUCAGUCUUGAGUGCAGAUCAGAGGAGAAAGUUGAUCAGCCAGACAAACACAUGACUGAAGUUGAAGGAAAGUCAGUGACGUUACGAUGUACAUUUACAACAUCCUCAGGCCAACCAUACCUCUUCUGGUACAUCCAGAGAGCAAGUGAUCAUCCCAAAUACAUCCUGAGGAGGGACAAGUAUGGAGCUGGAGAAAAUGGCACAGAGUUUCAGGAGAGAUUUCACUCUGAACUUUCAUCAGAUUCAGUUCCUCUGACGAUCAGAGAUCUGCGUGUGUCUGAUUCUGCUGUGUAUUACUGUGCUCUGAGGCCCACAGUGACUAAACUCAAUUUUAAAGCCUCUGGAGGUACAGAUUAUCUCCACUGGUAUCGUCAGUAUGGAAGUUCAAAACCUGAAUUUAUAGUACUGACCUACAGCUCAGCAACAAAAGCUGCACAGUCUGAUAUAGACACAAGAUUCAUUACUAAUAUUACAAAAAAGGAGCAUGUGGAUCUGCUGCUUUCCUCUGCUGCAGUAUCAGACUCUGCUGUGUAUUACUGCGCUCUGAGGCGCACAGUGACAGGAAACACAUCAGCUCCACACAAAAACCUGAUACAAUGA